AUCUGAGGGAUAGCUCAUUCGGUAGAGCAUGAGACUCGUAAUCUUAGGAUUAUGGGUUCAAGCCCCUUGUUAGGUG